GACGAACGCUGGCGGCGUGCUUAACACAUGCAAGUCGAGCGGUAAGGCCCUUUCGGGGGUACACGAGCGGCGAACGGGUGAGUAACACGUGGGUGACCUGCCUUUAGCUCUGGGAUAAGCCUGGGAAACUGGGUCUAAUACCGGAUAUGACCCUAUGGCGCAUGUUGUGGGGUGGAAAGCCUUGUGCGGCUAGGGAUGGGCCCGCGGCCUACCAGCUUGUUGGUGGGGUGAUGGCCUACCAAGGCGACGACGGGUAGCCGGCCUGAGAGGGCGACCGGCCACACUGGGACUGAGACACGGCCCAGACUCCUACGGGAGGCAGCAGUGGGGAAUCUUGCGCAAUGGGCGAAAGCCUGACGCAGCGACGCCGCGUGAGGGAUGACGGCCUU
rnacentral:rRNA from 1 species